UACGUAGGGUGCAAGCGUUAUCCGGAAUUAUUGGGCGUAAAGAGCUCGUAGGCGGUCUGUUGCGUCUGCUGUGAAAACCCGGGGCUUAACCCCUGGCUUGCAGUGGAUACGGACAGACUAGAGGUAGGUAGGGGAGAAUGGAAUUCCCGGUGUAGCGGUGAAAUGCGCAGAUAUCGGGAGGAACACCGGUGGCGAAGGCGGUUCUCUGGGCCUUACCUGACGCUGAGGAGCGAAAGCGUGGGGAGC
rnacentral:rRNA from 1 species